rnacentral:lncRNA from 10 species
CGGGGUUUUGUCACGUAGGCCAGGCUGGUCUUAAACUCCUGACCUCAGGUGAUCCACCCGCCUUGGCCUCCUAAAAUGCUGGGAUUACAUGCGUGAGUCACUGCGCCCGGGCUGUUUACUCCUUAACACUGCUGCCAUGGACUUAUGUGUCCCUCAUAAAUGCAUGUGCUGAAACCUAAUCGCCAAUGUGAGGAUACAAGGCGCUCUUGAAAGGGACAGAGUUUCCGAUGUUCAUUUAUUUAAUCCCUCUUGGAAAGUGUUAGCAGCUCGUUGCAUCUGUAAAGGAUGGAGGUGCCUUUGAUCACUUCAAUCAACUCACAGCUUCUCCCUUCCCAAAGGCUGGCAAAGAGACAGACAAAGAUGAUGGCAGAGGUGCCUCCCCUGCAGCCUGUGGAUCCAUACUGCACUCACGUCCUCACUCUGAAGGUGGCCUCCUAUGAACACCUGCAGCUCAGGCCCGGGAGUUCUUAUCUGUUUGUGACAGGACAUUCCACCCACAUGUAGGACAAGGCAGACAUUGCUGGAGUGUUUGAGCCGCAGGGAGCAGCGCUCAACCAACCAUGGAUGGGACUGGUGGAUAAUCGCCCAGCUCCCUUCCCUUUCCAUGGGACAGCUCUGGGAUGCAUGCUUUGCCCUGGCCCCAGCAGAGCUGAACCUCAGUUGCCACCUGCCCCCCAGCCCCCUCCGUAGGAACAUGCCUGGGGACACACCCUUCCUUGGCUGCCUUCCCGUUCCCAUCCCUGUCUCUCACUGUCCCCUCCCUCCUGGUGUUUCCUGAAUCACUGUGCAAAUAAACUACUCACACCCCAGCUCCUGUUUCAGGGUCCACUUCUUGAGGGGUGUAAGCUAAUCAGUCUGUGCAGUUUGGUUCUGGAGGUCACUGAAAAGACUCACUCCUCCCUCUUUCUACCCUGAAGACGGAAAGCUCCCUUUCCCCAUCCAGAUGUGAACUCUGACUGCAGUGAAGUGAGACCUUGGGUGGGGGGCAGGAGAGGGACCCAAGGGUUGACAAGAGUAAGGAAUGGUAGAAGAAAGGGCUUGGGGUGCUCCAGUGUGCCCCGAGAACUGAGGAGGAGGCC